rnacentral:rRNA from 1 species
GACGAACGCUGGCGGCGCGCUUAACACAUGCAAGUCGAGCGAGAACCCAGGCUUCGGUCUGGGGGAAAGCGGCGAACGGGUGAGUAUCACGUGGGUAAUCUGCCCUCGACAUCGGGAUAGCCCGGGGAAACCCGGAUUAAUACCGAAUGGCCCAUCUGCUCUUCGGAGCGGCUGGAAAAGGUAGCUUCGGCCUCCGGUCGAGGAGGAGCCCGCGGCGGAUUAGCUUGUUGGUGAGGUAACGGCUCACCAAGGCUCCGAUCCGUAGCUGGUCUGAGAGGACGAUCAGCCACACUGGGACUGAGACACGGCCCAGACUCCUACGGGAGGCAGCAGUGGGGAAUCUUGCGCAAUGGGCGAAAGCCUGACGCAGCGACGCCGCGUGAGGGAAGAAGGCCUUCGGGUUGUAAACCUCUUUCAGGAGGGACGAAGCCACUCGGGUUAAUAGCCCAGAGGGUGACGGUACCUCCAGAAGAAGCCCCGGCUAACUACGUGCAGCCGCCGCCGUAA